rnacentral:rRNA from 1 species
AGCAGCCGCGGUAAUUCCAGCUCCAAUAGCGUAUAUUAAAGUUGUUGCAGUUAAAAGCUCGUAGUUGAACUUCAGGCCUGGCUGGACGGUCCGCCCUCUGGGUGAGCACUGUCUGUGGUCGGGUCCUACCUUCUGGCGAAGCGGCAUGGCCUUAACCGGCCGUGGCGGGGAACCAGGACUUUUACUGUGAAAAAAUUAGAGUGUUCAAAGCAGGCACGCGCUUGAAUACAUUAGCAUGGAAUAAUGGAAUAGGACAAUGGUUCUAUUUGUUGGUUUUAGGACCGUUGUAAUGAUUAAUAGGGAUAGUUGGGGGCAUUAGUAUUCAAUUGUCAGAGGUGAAAUUCUUGGAUUUAUUGAAGACUAACUACUGCGAAAGCAUUUGCCAAGGAUGUUUUCAUUAAUCAAGAACGAAAGUUAGGGGAUCGAAGACGAUCAGAUACCGUCGUAGUCUUAACCAUAAACUAUGCCGACUAGGAAUCGGGCGAUGUUGACAAAAUGACGCGCUCGGCA